rnacentral:rRNA from 1 species
UACGGAGGAUCCAAGCGUUAUCCGGAUUUAUUGGGUUUAAAGGGUGCGUAGGCGGCGCUUCAGGCCAGCGGUGAAAUACCGGGGCUCAACCCCGGGGCUGCCGUUGAAACCGGAGCGCUAGAAUUCCGAUGCCGUCGGAGGAAUGCGCGGUGUAGCGGUGAAAUGCUUAGAUAUCGCGCAGAACCCCGAUUGCGAAGGCAGCGUACCGGCUCCACACUGACGCUGAGGCACGAAAGCGUGGGUAUCGAACAGG